rnacentral:lncRNA from 1 species
AGCGCCGGGGCCUGGGGGCGGCUCCGGGGAGGCGGCGCCGGUGCCAGGUUACCGGCUGGGGGAUUCGGAGGGUCGCGGGCCUCGUACCCACGGCAGUGCGAACGCCCAUCUAGGCUCACCAGGCCGGGCCACACCGCGGGCCCGCCCCGCGGGCACACGCUUCCUUCCUGUCCGCGCCCGAGCUGCGGGCGGGCGGCGCCCCGGCCUGGGGCCCGCGUCACGCCGGGGCCUCAAUAAAGGGCUUUGUGGUCCCGGCCCCGCCCGCGAGGGGUCGGGGCGCCGGGCUUGGGAUGCGCGCCCCGCGAGGUCCCGUCGGACACAGGCCCCCUGGUGAGACAGCCAGGACCGGGACCACGCUGGACGGAACAAAGGCCACGAGCCAAAGACAGGGCUGUAAGCUGGCCUUUCCAUGAAAAUGACACUUUUAAAUGUAAUGAGGUUGUGUUGAAGCCAUUUGGGGACUGAUUUGGGGACCAUUUGGGGGGCCACUUAAAGAAAUGUGCUGGGUUCUGACCUGUUCGCUGUGUGCCGUUCUCACCGGUGACGCUUGAGCGGCAGCGUUGUUGUCAUUGCUACUGUUCACACCCUCUGGAUGAAAUCUGGAGCAGUGAGGAUCCGUGGCUGGCUCUCAGGUGCGCAGCAACAGGUGGUGUUGAGCACUUUACACCAGAAGAGCUCAGCCCCGGACACCUACACAUGAAUUGCUCUAUUGUGCAAGCCAGAAGCAUUAAUCCUAAGAGCAAGAAGAAAGAUCUUUACACACCUUAAUAUGUGAGUCCUUUGGGAUGUUACAAUGUUGCCCUGUAAAGUCUAAUUAAAACGAAGGAUUUAUCUGCC